AUAAGGGGAUUCCAGGAAAUCUUAUCUAAGGAAGGGCUGAGCGUCAGCCUGCAUGACACUAGGAUGCCCCUGUAUAGACAGACUCCCAUCUAAUGCUUUGCGGAUGGGUGAAAUUUAAUCUAAGGUAAUCGGCUUACCUUUUUUCUGUUCUUGGAUCCACUAGUCUCUUAACAGCGACAAAUACUUGUUGAUUAAUUUCUCUCUCCACCACCAUCAGAAAGCCUUCUUUUACAGGAGACGCUAUUAACACAGAGACCCUCGACUGGUCAAAGUGCAGAAGGUAAGACUGGGGAGCGCUCAGCUCUAAGUGGGUCUUCUUUAUCACAGCCCCUCCUCCCAAGGCGGAGGGUCAUAGUGGAAGAGGGGCCAGAAGGAUUAUGAAAGCCAAAGGCACCAGAUGGCUACAUCAAAUAAUGUUUUCCUGGACAGCAGCACACUUGCACAUAGGAACUGGAAGCAAUCUUGACAGCAUCCUUACGAACUGCUGCAAAAGAUCAAGCCAGACAAAAGCCCAGCGUGGGGAAGAGGCCUUUGUGUAUCCCAUACCUUGCUGAAAGGUUACUGAUGAGAGACACCGUGGCAAACCUGCAUGUGAAUUCACAUCCGUCAACCAUCACACCUGACCUCUGCACAGCAGCAAGCUGGAGUGCUCCCCGGCCUUAUUUAGUGCUUUGCUUGGUUGCUGUUUUUAAGUAUCAGUUAAUGAAUUUGACUUAAAAUUUUUAAAUGUAAUAUGCUUUGGGAGACCGAUAAGCCCCUCCAAGAGAGAAAAUGUACAGAGUGAAAGACAUGCAUUAAGACCAUCAUUUAAUACAUUUUGCUAAACACAUGCAUCUAUAUGAUCCCUUCCCCAGAAAGUUUUUUUCUUUCUCCUUUAUCGAGAUUCACUUAAUAAGUAACAGUUGUAUAGAGCUCCUUAUAUAAGACAAUAUGGUAUGGGCAUGUACCUAUAUGCAUCAACUGAUGCUUUGAAAUGCCUCUAGAUAAGCCAAGACACUGUGACUAAGCGCUGAGAUGGACUGAUCAGAGGAAGGUAAGGUAUGUGCUGACUCACAGGUUCAGGCUAUUUAGACAAAAACAUGCGAUCACGUGAUCGAGGAAACCCCAGAGAGGCAGAGAGGGGAGGAGUCAGGGGCACACCCACAGUGCUCAAGCCUGUGUACCAGACCAAUUCAUAAAGGUUCCAUCACCUCCCAUAGUGCAAAAACAGACAAAACAGACAAAGCCUCUGGGAAGCGUUGGGGAUCAAAACUGCAGCUCAGUGUAAAUGUUGUGUGAGUAGUUUCUACACAGCAUUUCUGUGCAUGCUCAGUGCAGAUGCAGCUGUGUAAAGACCUAGAAGGCAGGCUGGAGAAAUGGCUCAGUGGUUAAGAGCACUGACUGUUCUUCCAGAGAUCCUGAGUUCAAAUCCCAGCAACCA